rnacentral:rRNA from 1 species
UACAGAGGUCUCAAGCGUUGUUCGGAUUCAUUGGGCGUAAAGAGCGCGCAGGCGGUCGUGCAAGUCGCGUGUGAAAGCCCCCGGCUCAACUGGGGAGGGUCACGCGAUACUGCUCGACUUGAAGGCAGGAGAGGGAAGUGGAAUUCCCGGUGUAGUGGUGAAAUGCGUAGAUAUCGGGAGGAACACCGGUGGCGAAGGCGGCAUCCUGGACCGGUAUUGACGCUGAGGAGCGAAAGCCAGGGGAGCAAAGCGGG